GCUAACCUAUCAUACAGAUGGUAAAGAAUCUGCCUGGAAUGCAGAAGACCUGGGUUCGAUCCCUGGGUAAGGA
rnacentral:tRNA from 1 species